CCAAUAGCGUAUAUUAAAGUUGUUGCAGUUAAAAAGCUCGUAGUUGAAUUUCGGGAUUAGUACGCUGGUCGUGCCUUCGGUAUGUACUGGUGUUACUGGUUCCUACCUUCUGACGAACCGUCAUGUCAUUAAUUUGGUGUGGCGGGAAAUCAGGACUGUUACUUUGAAAAAAUUAGAGUGUUUAAAGCAGGCUCGCGCUUGAAUACAUUAGCAUGGAAUAAUGAAAUAGGACGGUCGAUACUAUUUUGUUGGUUUCUAGGAUUGACGUAAUGAUUAAUAGGGAUAGUUGGGGGCAUUAAUAUUCAAUUGUCAGAGGUGAAAUUCUUUGAUUUAUUGAAGACUAACUACUGCGAAAGCAUUUGCCAAGGAUGUUUUCAUUAAUCAAGAACGAAAGUUAGGGGAUCGAAGACGAUCAGAUACCGUCGUAGUCUUAACCAUAAACUAUGCCGACUAGGGAUCGGAUGAUGUUAUUUUUAAUGACUCAUUCGGCGCCUUACG
rnacentral:rRNA from 1 species